GAAAACAAUGGCUCUCAAAGCGUCCAUAUUAGGUUGAUCAACUGAAGAGUGAAUGUGAAAAGAUUGCCACUUUGACUUAAAGUAUCGGCAAAGGUGCCGCAACACCAAUCGCUAGCCCGAAACUUAUUUCGUUCUCACCCAAAGCAACAAAACUCCGCAAUCUUGUCAAAAAAAGGACGACAAAUUGGUUGUCCGUCUUGGUGGCAAUGAAGGACUACAAAAAUUUGAUCUCUCUGGUUUGCUGGUACAGAGAAUCUGAUACGUUCAGACGAAUUAAGCUGGAAAACAAAGGCAAACAUGGAAUUUAAAUACGAACGCAUAAAUGUUGACAAAGAAUUCUUCAAAACACGCUCACAAAUCGGACUCAAUAACCAAGCAUAUUUCAUGCACAUAUGCAGGAAAUAUAAAAAUUAUCUAACAACACUUCCAACUAAUGGAUUACAACCUCCUCCAAAUUAUUUAUAUAAGUAAUUCAAUUUCACUUAUGAAUAAAUGGCUAUUUUUUUUAUCAAACUGAAUAUACCAUACAACCUUCGACGUAGACAAAUUUCGUCAUCAACAAUAACAUCCAUACACCUUAUUUACCAGACCGAAAAUUUCAACCCGAAGUAGGCUGUAAUUAUUAGAACUGCCAAAAAAAAUAACAAACAAAAAAAAAAUGGAAUAUCAAACCAACUAGAAUUGUAUAAUGGAUCAUUCACGCCCGCAUCCGCCUGUUUAGAAAAAAAAGGAUUUUCUUUACUAAAUCUGCUGGGGCUGCAUUUUCUUUUGUUAAAAAAAAAAUGAGGAAUAUGGAGUAAUCUAAAAAGGCAAUUUCUUCUUGGUUUGGGCUUUCAAGGCCAUAUUAGUUGCAUGGGAAAUCACAUUCGCACAUUUGUUUCCAAACGUCAUUGAGUUCCUGUUAGAUGCUCAGAUAUUCGAUGUGAUUUUUUGCAAUUGCAAAUGGGCGAGUAUACGACAAUAGUGUUGUGAUAUAUUGUGAUUGGAUGGAAGGUUAAUGACUGUUCGAGUAUUUGUUGCAUCCUCUGUAUGAGACAAAACUACACAUACGCAAUUGAUUCUCUUUGUAUUCGAGAAGGUACUCAAUGUUGAGCCCAUUUUCUUUGCAUUAAGAAUUGGCGAGCGGUUUAUGAAAGAACAAGAAAUAUUAUUUGGCUGUCGUGACAAAGUUUUUGUGUCCCCAUCUUUAAGAGUAUACAAAAAACUCUCCAUCUGUUCUCAUCGGUGACGGAGGAAUCAACACUUGCACCAGGUCGUGUAUAUUAAUAUGCUUGUAAGACAAAUGGAGCUUGAACGCUUGUCUUUUGAACUCCAGUUCGCCUGCCAUUUAGUAGAUGGCGCAAACCCACGUAUCUGAGAAAAAACACUUCAAAUUUAUGAUUUUGGUUGCAUUCAUACGUUAUUUUUAUUGUAAGAUGCGUUUUAAUAAAAUAAUUUUUCUAAAAAAAUGUAAAUCUCUAAUUUCUAGAUUUUAGGAAAGAUUUUUGUAAAUCAAAACAAAUUAAAUUUUUCAACAGAGUCUGCGAUUGGUGAUCUUUUGGUGAAUUUGAGAUCGGUAAAAACAAAAUUGAGACACACAGUGUUUGCGGAACUUGGGGUAUUGCUUAUGGUCUGGUAGUUGCAUUAUGGCUGCAUAAGUGCAUACGCUAAUGCUUUGGCAUUGGCUUCUUGUUGCUAUUGCUGAUGUUGCUACUGUUGCCGUGGGUGAUGAUUGUGAGUUGGCCGUUGUAGUGUGGAAUGAUUUAAAGGCCUGAAUCAUUGACAAUUGGCCUUAUUUGUAUCUUGUGGUCAACUGGAGGCUGAUUUUGGGCUGUUGAUUUAUUGUGUCAACCUAAGAAAAAUAAAGCUUUUGAAAAUAGUAUGAUCUAAAAAUCCUAAAUUAAGGGUUUACCUGUGAUGACUAAAAAUUGCCAAUUAGGCUAAGGAACUUCAACUGCGGACGUCAUUAGACUCUGUUUAUUAUAUUUGGUGUUUGGGGCUGAUAUACUGAAGUUGUUGUAAUUGUUGUAUGCGCACUUGUCGAUGAUGUUGCCGCUGCUGCUUUUAAGCGUUUUGCUAUAUAGUCUUUUUAUGUUGUUUGCGAUUGACACCAACUUCGGUGGCUUGACGCAGGUUUUUAAGCAUUACUUUGUUUAUUGGAAAGCUUCUUCAGCACAGAUGGUGGACAAUUGUCUAUAAAUUUAAUAAGCUAGUUAGACACCAUAGAAUCUAGAAAAAAAAAUAGCUUACCAGAAUCGAUGUCUUCCACAGCUUUGUGUUUCUUGUAACCAACCAGUCCACUGGACUGGCAGCUAGUUUGUAAAUUCUUUCUUUCAACGGUGUUUGAGUCUCACGCAUGAAAUCCUAAUGCUGGGUCAAAAAUAACGUUGCCCACUCUGGGCUUAUUUUGUUCGUCUCGUACUGUUUAGGAGAGCACUUGCUCUUGAUAGUUUUAACCUGAUUGAAGGCUUUUUUCCAGAUUCAAUGAGAAUUUGAUUUCGAUACAGCAAAAGCUACUGUGACGAUAGUCCUGAGUUUC